UCUCCCGGGCGCUGGCGGCGUGCGCCCAGGUGUCCCGCCACACCCCGUUGGGUACCCUGCUUUGUUCUCGCGGUUACCCCCAUUUUGUGUGGCGUCUGAGGGACAUGGGCUUCUCUCUUUACUCCAGCUGCAUCUCUCAAUCCUGCGUUCGUGCCACCGCAGUGUGGAGCUGGCAUUCGGGACGAUGUGGCGUGAAGUCACACUGACGCCAUUCCCUUCACACUCAGCCAACUUGGCUUCCUCUUCCACCCAUGGAAUAAACCAGACUGCUGAAAGUGGGAGGGAAAUAGCGGACCAAGGU
rnacentral:lncRNA from 1 species